GACGAACGCUGGCGGCGUGCUUAACACAUGCAAGUCGAACGAAGUGGCGAACGGGUGAGUAAUACGUGGGUAACCUGCCCUCCUUUUUGGGAUAAGCCUUGGAAACGGGGUCUAAUACCGAAUAAAGGGGGAUGGGCUCGCGGCCUAUCGGCUUGUUGGUGGGGUGAUGGCCUACCAAGGCGGUGACGUGUAGCCGGCCUGAGAGGGUGACCGGCCACCUUGGGAAUGAGAUACGGCCCAGACUCCGACGGGAGGUAGCAGUGGGGAAUUUUGGACAGUGGGGGAAACCCGGAUCCAGCCAGCCCGCGUGUAUGAUGAAGGCCUUCGGGUUGUAAAGUACUUUUGGCGGAGAAGCGGUAUCUGCAGAAUAAGCACCGGCUAACUACGUGCCAGCAGCCGCGGUAAUUC
rnacentral:rRNA from 1 species